rnacentral:rRNA from 1 species
UACGUAGGGGGCAAGCGUUAUCCGGAAUUACUGGGCGUAAAGGGUGAGUAGGCGGCAAUGUAAGUCAUAUGUGAAAGCCUGAAGCUUAACUUCGGGAUUGCAUAAGAAACUAUAUAGCUAGAGUACGGGAGAGGUAAGCGGAAUUCCUAGUGUAGCGGUGAAAUGCGUAGAUAUUAGGAAGAACACCAGUGGCGAAGGCGGCUUACUGGACCGAGACUGACGCUGAGGCACGAAAGCGUGGGGAGCGAACAGG